GAAGAUAUAAUUUAAAAAAAAUAAUCCUUUGUCAAAGGAAACUUAUUCAAUUCCAUGAAUUUUCUUCU